UACGGAGGGGGCUAGCGUUGUUCGGAAUUACUGGGCGUAAAGCGCGCGUAGGCGGCCCGGUAAGUCCGCUGUAAAAGUCCAGGGCUCAACCCUGGAAAGCCGGUGGAUACUGCACGGCUCGAGACAGGUAGGGGAGAUCGGAAUUCCUGGUGUAGCGGUGAAAUGCGCAGAUAUCAGGAGGAACACCGGUGGCGAAGGCGGAUCUCUGGGCCUGUUCUGACGCUGAGGCGCGAAAGCUAGGGGAGCGAACAGG
rnacentral:rRNA from 1 species